rnacentral:rRNA from 1 species
GGGUUGUGAGGUUAAGCGACUAAGCGUACACGGUGGAUGCCCUGGCAGUCAGAGGCGAUGAAGGGCGUGCUAAUCUGCGAUAAGCGCCGGUAAGGUGAUAUGAACCGUUAUAACCGGCGAUACCCGAAUGGGGAAACCCAGUGUGACUCGUCACACUAUCAUUAACUGAAUCCAUAGGUUAAUGAGGCGAACCGGGGGAACUGAAACAUCUAAGUACCCCGAGGAAAAGAAAUCAACCGAGAUUCCCCCAGUAGCGGCGAGCGAACGGGGAGGAGCCCAGAGCCUGAAUCAGCAUGUGUGUUAGUGGAAGCGUCUGGAAAGGCGCGCGAUACAGGGUGACAGCCCCGUACACAAAAGCGCAUGUGCUGUGAGCUCGAUGAGUAGGGCGGGACACGUGGUAUCCUGUCUGAAUAUGGGGGGACCAUCCUCCAAGGCUAAAUACUCCUGACUGACCGAUAGUGAACCAGUACCGUGAGGGAAAGGCGAAAAGAACCCCGGCGAGGGGAGUGAAAAAGAACCUGAAACCGUGUACGUACAAGCAGUGGGAGCACAGGUUUACCUGUGUGACUGCGUACCUUUUGUAUAAUGGGUCAGCGACUUAUAUUCUGUAGCAAGGUUAACCGAAUAGGGGAGCCGGAGGGAAACCGAGUCUUAAUUGGGCGUUAAGUUGCAGGGUAUAGACCCGAAACCCGGUGAUCUAGCCAUGGGCAGGUUGAAGGUUGGGUAACACUAACUGGAGGACCGAACCGACUAAUGUUGAAAAAUUAGCGGAUGACCUGUGGCUGGGGGUGAAAGGCCAAUCAAACCGGGAGAUAGCUGGUUCUCCCCGAAAGCUAUUUAGGUAGCGCCUCGUGAAUUCAUCUCCGGGGGUAGAGCACUGUUUCGGCUAGGGGGCCAUCCCGGCUUACCAACCCGAUGCAAACUGCGAAUACCGGAGAAUGUUAUCACGGGAGACACACGGCGGGUGCUAACGUCCGUCGUGAAGAGGGAAACAACCCAGACCGCCAGCUAAGGUCCCAAAGUCAUGGUUAAGUGGGAAACGAUGUGGGAAGGCCCAGACAGCCAGGAUGUUGGCUUAGAAGCAGCCAUCAUUUAAAGAAAGCGUAAUAGCUCACUGGUCGAGUCGGCCUGCGCGGAAGAUGUAACGGGGCUAAACCAUGCACCGAAGCUGCGGCAGCGACACUGUGUGUUGUUGGGUAGGGGAGCGUUCUGUAAGCCUGUGAAGGUGGCCUGUGAGGGUUGCUGGAGGUAUCAGAAGUGCGAAUGCUGACAUAAGUAACGAUAAAGCGGGUGAAAAGCCCGCUCGCCGGAAGACCAAGGGUUCCUGUCCAACGUUAAUCGGGGCAGGGUGAGUCGACCCCUAAGGCGAGGCCGAAAGGCGUAGUCGAUGGGAAACAGGUUAAUAUUCCUGUACUUGGUGUUACUGCGAAGGGGGGACGGAGAAGGCUAUGUUGGCCGGGCGACGGUUGUCCCGGUUUAAGCGUGUAGGUGUGUGUUCCAGGUAAAUC